AUUCUGACUGUGCGAAGGUAGCAUAAUAAAUUGUCUUUUAAAUGGAGGCUUGAAUGAAAGGUUGGACAAAGUAUCAUCUGUUUCUUAAGUAUUUAUUGAAUUUGACUUUCAAGUGAAAAGGCUUGAAUAAAUUAAAAAGACGAUAAGACCCUAUAAAUCUUUACAAUAAACAUGUUCUAUAUUUUAAUUUGUAAGUAUAUAAAAUGUUAAAUUUGUAUUUGUUUCGCUGGGGCGGCGUAGAUAUAUAAAUAAACUGUCUAUAUAUUAAAACCAGUAAUUAUUGAUUAAUAAAAUUGAUCCUUAAAAAGAUUAAAAGAUUAAGAUACUUUAGGGAUAACAGCGUUAUUUUUUUUGAGAGUUCUUAUCGAAGAAAAAGUUUGCGACCUCGAUCUUGAAUUAAAGUAUACUAUUGGCGUUAUCUGAGUACAGACG
rnacentral:rRNA from 1 species